rnacentral:rRNA from 1 species
UACAGAGGUCUCAAGCGUUUGUUCGGAUUCAUUGGGCGUAAAGGGUGCGUAGGUGGCGCCGUAAGUCGGGUGUGAAAUUUCGGAGCUUAACUCCGAAACUGCAUUCGAUACUGCGGUGCUUGAGGACUGGAGAGGAGACUGGAAUUCAUGGUGUAGCAGUGAAAUGCGUAGGAGAUCAUGAGGAAGACCAGUGGCGAAGGCGGGUCUCUGGACAGUUCCUGACACUGAGGCACGAAGGCCAGGGGAGCAAACGGG